rnacentral:misc_RNA from 1 species
GAAAUGCGAUAAGUAAUGUGAAUUGCAGAAUUCAUUGAAUCAUCGAAUCUUUGAACGCACCUUGCGCUCCUUGGUAUUCCUUGGAGCAUGCCUGUUUGAGUAUCAUGAAAUCUUCAAAGUAAAUCUUUUGUUAACUCAAUUGGUUUCUACUUUGGUAUUGGAGGUCUUUGCAGCUUCACACCUGCUCCUCUUUGUUCAUUAGCUGGAUCUCAGUGUUAUGCUUGGUUCCACUCGGCGUGAUAAGUUAUCUAUCGCUGAGGACACUGUAAAAGGUGGCCAAGGUAAAUGCAGAUGAACCGCUUCUAAUAGUCCAUUGACUUGGACAAUACUUUUAUGAUCUGAUCUCAAAUCAGGUAGGACUACCCGCUGAACUUAAGC